GUGGGGAAUAUUGGGCAAUGGGCGCAAGCCUGACCCAGCAACGCCGCGUGAGGGAAGAAGGCUUUCGGGUUGUAAACCUCUGUCCUUGGUGACGAAACAAAUGACGGUAGCCAAGGAGGAAGCCCCGGCUAACUACGUGCCAGCAGCCGCGGUAAUACGUAGGGGGCGAGCGUUGUCCGGAAUUACUGGGCGUAAAGGGUGCGUAGGUGGCCUUUUAAGUUGGAUGUGAAAUACCCGGGCUUAACUUGGGGGGUGCAUCCAAAACUGGGAGGCUAGAGUGCAGGAGAGGAAAGCGGAAUUCCUAGUGUAGCGGUGAAAUGCGUAGAUAUUAGGAGGAACACCAGUGGCGAAGGCGGCUUUCUGGACUGUAACUGACACUGAGGCACGAAAGCGUGGGGAGCAAACAGGAUUAGAUACCCCUGUAGUCC
rnacentral:rRNA from 1 species